UGGCAUCCUCCCUCCGCGCCGGCGGCCGGCCGCCCCGCUCAAUCCCGGCGAGCCGCGGCGGCGCUUCCCAGCGGGAAGACGCGGCCCGCUCCUCCCAUGGAUCGGGCAGCGAGAAGCACGCUGUCACUGGCGGGAAGAGGUGUGCCAAGGGCUUGGCGGCGGGCCAGGAUGUGCUUGAGUGCACCUGAGAUGGCAGCGGAGUCCAGUUGUGUAAGAAUCCAGAGCUGUGCUGUUAACGUGCCUGGACUUUAUUCAGAGAAUGAAGAGAACAGAGAUGCAGAAUUGCUUCCCCCCUCUUCCCCAAAAUACAAUUUCGUCUCAGACGUUAUACGUGCACUAUGAUUUUUAUGCAAUGGGCAUUAAUGACAACUACAUUUUGUUUCAGCAAUGACUGAGACAAGUUGGUUUUGUUCACCCAGCACAGCUUAUGGGCAAGUAGAGUUUAUCCUUUAGGCUGAGGGGAUGACCUGAUCGCUUCUUUCACUUCAGUCACAGGCAAAGAGGUUCCAAACACCCUGCACGUUUCCAUAUCAGUAUUUUUUUAACAUAAAUUAAAAAGCCUAAAGUCAGUUGACAUGUAAAUGUUGGAGCUAGAAAUACAGAAUUACAGGUUAAUCAGUGAAGUAGUGAUGCAAGUAAGUGAUAAUAAUAACAAACCUGCAUGUUUACUUAAAAGACCUUUUUACUUAAACAGUCAAAAAGCAGUAGGUUACUUUGUCCUCCAGUCUUACGAGAUGUUGAACAGGAACAUUUCUAUGUACAGUAGAAUACAGUACACACAGUAACAAUCUAUAGCCACAUCAUGGAAUUUCCUUAUUGUCACUGCUUCAGAGCAUAGACAUACGAAUUUCCCAGUAAGGGUUUCCAUGGGAGAGAGAAAUUCUGCUUCCUUCAGCUCUGAAACACAGAUUUGUCAGUAAUAUUUUGAUGGAUGUUAUUGCGAUGGGUAAAAGAUAGAUAGACUGAGCAAUGCAUUUUGUCACAAAAUUGUUUCUGAAUUGCCAGCAGCGGCUAUGUAACUUGAUAUAUGACAUUUAUUUUAUUGAGCAGAGUGUAAAACUAGCUAUAAAAAUACAACAUUGAAUUACUAUAUACAUAGAUGGCUCAAAUUUGAAGCUUCAUCUGACUAAUACAGAGGGUCCUAUAGACAUAAACUUGGGAUAUGAAGAAAAACUGUAUCUUUAUGUCUUGCUACUAUCUCACGUUAAAUUAAAAUUUGUGUGAUGCAAUGCUGUUACUAGUUUAUUUUUAUGUAUUAAAGCUAUUGAUUUGCUCUAAAAA